AUCUGCCCGAUAAAGGGGGAUAACCACUGGAAACGGUGGCUAAUACCGCAUAUCGUCGCAGGACCAAAGAGGGGGACCUUCGGGCCUCUCACUAUCGGAUGAACCCAGAUGGGAUUAGCUAGUAGGCGGGGUAAUGGCCCACCUAGGCGACGAUCCCUAGCUGGUCUGAGAGGAUGACCAGCCACACUGGAACUGAGACACGGUCCAGACUCCUACGGGAGGCAGCAGUGGGGAAUAUUGCACAAUGGGCGCAAGCCUGAUGCAGCCAUGCCGCGUGUAUGAAGAAGGCCUUCGGGUUGUAAAGUACUUUCAGCGGGGAGGAAGGCGAUGCGGUUAAUAACCGCGGUCCGAUUGACGUUUACCCGCAGAAGAAGCACCGGCUAACUUCCGUGCCAGCAGCC
rnacentral:rRNA from 1 species